GAGAGUGUGAGGGAGAGAGAGGGCUCAGCCCACUCAAAUAAAUGCCAUUUUGCACAAAAGCCCCUCAACUUUUACCCCUGUGCACUGCCCUUACUGGGCAGUUUUCGCGCGGAGGGACCGGUCUCCCCGACUUGGGACCGGUCCCCGAGAGCUUCCCUCGGGCGCACGCGUUCGGGAACCGGUCUCUCCCCGGGAGACCGGUCCUCGGGAGACCGGUCCUCACCUGAGAGACCGGUCCCCGAGAGCUUGAUUUUCAGGACUUAGCCAAUUUUGGCAUCUCACGCUGGGGCCACGUUCGGGAACCGGUCCCUCACCACCAGGGACCGGUUGCAUCGCGCAACCCCGCAACACCCAGCCGAGGGAACCGGUCUCUCACCUGCAGAGACCGGUCC
rnacentral:lncRNA from 1 species